rnacentral:rRNA from 1 species
GAACGCUAGCGGCAGGCUUAACACAUGCAAGUCGAGGGGUAUAGGGAGCUUGCUUCCUAGAGACCGGCGCACGGGUGCGUAACGCGUAUGCAAUCUACCUUUGCAGAGGGAUAGCCCAGAGAAAUUUGGAUUAAUACCUCAUAGUAUAGCAGUUUCGCAUGAAACCACUAUUAAAGUCACAACGGCAAAAGAUGAGCAUGCGUCCCAUUAGCUUGUUGGUAAGGUAACGGCUUACCAAGGCAACGAUGGGUAGGGGUCCUGAGAGGGAGAUCCCCCACACUGGUACUGAGACACGGACCAGACUCCUACGGGAGGCAGCAGUGAGGAAUAUUGGACAAUGGGCGCAAGCCUGAUCCAGCCAUGCCGCGUGCAGGAUGACGGUCCUAUGGAUUGUAAACUGCUUUUGUACAGGAAGAAACACUGGUUCGUGAACCGGCUUGACGGUACUGUAAGAAUAAGGAUCGGCUAACUCCGUG